AGAGUUUGAUCAUGGCUCAGAUUGAACGCUGGCGGCAUGCCUUACACAUGCAAGUCGAACGGCAGCACGGGAGCAAUCCUGGUGGCGAGUGGCGAACGGGUGAGUAAUAUAUCGGAACGUGCCCAGUCGUGGGGGAUAACGUAGCGAAAGCUACGCUAAUACCGCAUACGAUCUACGGAUGAAAGCGGGGGAUCGCAAGACCUCGCGCGAUUGGAGCGGCCGAUAUCAGAUUAGCUAGUUGGGAGGUAAAGGCUCACCAAGGCGACGAUCUGUAGCUGGUCUGAGAGGACGACCAGCCACACUGGAACUGAGACACGGUCCAGACUCCUACGGGAGGCAGCAGUGGGGAAUUUUGGACAAUGGGCGCAAGCCUGAUCCAGCAAUGCCGCGUGCAGGAUGAAGGCCUUCGGGUUGUAAACUGCUUUUGUACGGAACGAAACGGCCCUUUCUAAUACAAGGGGCUAAUGACGGUACCGUAAGAAUAAGCACCGGCUAACUACGUGCCAGCAGCCGCGGUAAUUCA
rnacentral:rRNA from 1 species